GUCGUACAGGUAGCGUAGUCGUGAUAGGUAUCGGAAAGUUUGAACAUGGCUCCGAAAAGUCGAACAGGGGAACCGUAAAGUUUAACCAGGGAACCCGAAAGUUUCCUGCCUGUCCAUCGGGAUAACUCCGGGAAACCGGGGCUAAUACCGGGUAAUACUUUCUUUCGCAUGAAGGAAAGUUGAAAGAUGGCUUCUCGCUAUCACUUACAGAUGGGCCCGCGGCGCAUUAGCUAGUUGGUGAGGUAACGGCUCACCAAGGCGACGAUGCGUAGCCGACCUGAGAGGGUGAUCGGCCACAUGGGACUGAACACGGCCCAACUCCUACGGGAGGCAGCAGUAGGGAAUCUUCCGCAGUGGACGAAAGUCUGACGGACAACGCCGCGUGAACGAUGAAGGUCUUCGGAUCGUAAGUUCUGUUGUUAGGGAAGAACAAGUCCGUGCGAAUAGAGCGGUACCUUGACGGUCCCUAACGAGGAACCCCGGCUAACUCGUGCCUUCGUGGAAUACUACGGGGGCAAGCGUUGUCCGGAAUUAUUGGGCGUAAAGGGCGCGCAGCGGUUCUUUAAU
rnacentral:rRNA from 1 species